UUCUCUCCACCUUCCCUUGCUCCCUCCCACCUAUAUAUGGGGUCUCUCUGCCGAUGGAUGCCGUAGGGUGUAAGAGGAUGACUUAAUUUCAUUCCAAACCCUUGAGUAAUCAAUCAGUUUCAUCCCUUUACAGUUGAUUUGUCGAUUUAUAGAAGCAAGGUUCGUAGAUUGCCUUCAAUCUGCUGUUCGUCAAACCUAGGUCACUGAUUUCAAAAUUGGAUGGUUUCGAGGUUAAGGAGUCGGUUUUUAUAGUGGUGAGCCGGUGACGUGGUGGCGUUGAAGAAGCAAAGGCUGUGGAGACGGUGGUGCUUGGAUCGCUGUUUGGGCUCUGAGACUGAUGACAAUCCACACAAUUUCAUGAUUUUUGCAAAGAAACUGAUGGUGCCAAUUGCUCUACUCUUAGUCGUGUGGAUGAACUGGAAUCAUCCUGUUAUUCUUGGAGUUAAAGUGAUACUUACUCUUCUCAGUACAGUAUAAAACCCAACCCCUUCUCAGUUUAUGUAUUCAUUAAACAGGGACAUUGGAAGACAUGAAGAGUGGUGGAUCAAAAUGAAAAGAUAGUAGUCAAAGCAAGGAUGAGGAUAUACUGCGAAGUAAAGGUGAAUAAUCUAUUUGAUAUUAUUUACAUUGGAUUAAGAUAGGUUACUAUUUUUGAAUUUUAAUAUGUAAUCCAACAUGAGAAAUAUUGUAUAUAUCCCUUAGAGAUGCAGUCAUAUUUCAAGUUGUACUAUGAAUUCAACAACUUCCAAAUUAGUUUGUAUAAGUUUUAAUGUACCACCAAACUUCUAGCGACUAAUUCAUUUA